rnacentral:rRNA from 1 species
AUGAAUAGAUUGGAAGUCUCUCACAAAAAAAAUGUAAAUCAGCAUGUAGUUUCCCCAAUGCAUCCAAUAAUCCAAUGCAGUACAAUACAAGCCAUAAUUUACAUAACUAAAUCAUCAAUCAUGCGAAGCCUGCAACUUAAGAGCUAUACAAGCUAUCUGUCGUGCCUCUUCUCACUUUGGCACAGCUCUUUUGAAUGGUUUCACCAAACCACAUUCUUCCUGAAACAGGAGAACGGCAAAAGCAUUGGGUCAUACUCCUCAUCAUGCUGCUCUUCUUCUUCUUCUGAAGUCCUUGCUGUAUCCUUGAUCCGAUGA